UUAAAAGCUCGUAGUUGGAUCAGAGUUGGACGUGCACGUGGCCCCAUUUGUGUGGCUGGCUCCGGUCAGUUACACGGUGGCGGAACAACCCCGUGCGCCAAACUGUCCACUCUAACAGACCGAAGCGGUUCCCUGUGAGUAACUUAGGCUCCUUAAUUGGGGCUGAAAGCGCCUACGCAUCAACCAUAUGCAUACGGGACGUCGGUCAAAGUUACUGUGAACAAACCAGCGUGUCCAAGGCAGGCUUUCGCCUGAAUGUUCGAGCAUGGAAUAACAAGGGAUCGAUUCUCUCGGUUCUUUUUGUUGGUUUUUAACCCGAGAAGGAGAAAUUCAGGCCACGGUGUCUGAGUUGGGUUUCCCAGGGCUUCGGCUCUGGCCCCAAUUAGGCCGUGUCCUUACGGGAUCAAUAGGGACUGACGGGGUCGUACCUACUUCCGCGUCAGAGGUGAAAUUCUUAGGUCGCGGGAAGAGGAACUUCAGC
rnacentral:rRNA from 1 species